UGGGGAAUAUUGCACAAUGGGCGCAAGCCUGAUGCAGCCAUGCCGCGUGUAUGAAGAAGGCCUUCGGGUUGUAAAGUACUUUCAGUCGGGAGGAAGGUGGUAAGGUUAAUAACCUUGGCAAUUGACGUUACCGACAGAAGAAGCACCGGCUAACUCCGUGCCAGCAGCCGCGGUAAUACGGAGGGUGCAAGCGUUAAUCGGAAUUACUGGGCGUAAAGCGCACGCAGGCGGUUGAUUGAGUCAGAUGUGAAAUCUCCGGGCUUAACCCGGGAAUUGCAUCUGAUACUGGUCAGCUAGAGUCUUGUAGAGGGGGGUAGAAUUCCAUGUGUAGCGGUGAAAUGCGUAGAGAUGUGGAGGAAUACCGGUGGCGAAGGCGGCCCCCUGGACAAAGACUGACGCUCAGGUGCGAAAGCGUGGGGAGCAAACAGG
rnacentral:rRNA from 1 species